rnacentral:rRNA from 1 species
UACGAAGGGGGCUAGCGUUGCUCGGAAUCACUGGGCGUAAAGGGUGCGUAGGCGGGUCUUUAAGUCAGGGGUGAAAUCCUGGAGCUCAACUCCAGAACUGCCUUUGAUACUGAGGAUCUUGGGUACGGGAGAGGUGAGUGGAAUUCCGAGUGUAGAGGUGAAAUUCGUAGAUAUUCGGAAGAACACCGGCGGCGAAGGCGGCCAACAUGGCGAAAUACUGACGCUGAGACUCGAAAGCGUGGGGAGCAAACAGG